rnacentral:rRNA from 1 species
GCGGCAAGAGCUCAAAUUUGAAAUCUAGCACCUUCGGUGUUCGAGUUGUAAUUUGAAGAAGGUAUCUUUGGAGUUGGCCCUUGUCUAUGUUCCUUGGAACAGGACGUCACAGAGGGUGAGAAUCCCGUGCGAUGAGGAGUCCAAUUCUAUGUAAAGUUCCUUCGAAGAGUCGAGUUGUUUGGGAAUGCAGCUCUAAGUGGGUGGUAAAUUCCAUCUAAAGCUAAAUAUUGGCGAGAGACCGAUAGCGAACAAGUACAGUGAUGGAAAGAUGAAAAGAACUUUGAAAAGAGAGUGAAAAAGUACGUGAAAUUGUUGAAAGGGAAGGGCUUUUGAUCAGACUUGGUGUUUAGUACUCUCUGCUCCUUGUGGGUGGGGCUCUUGCUUUAUACUGGGCCAGCAUCGGUUUUGAUGGCAGGAUAAUGACUUUGGAACGUGGCUUCAUUCGUGAAGUGUUAUAGC